rnacentral:siRNA from 1 species
UGCAGAAUCGUCCGAAUUUAGUCC